GACGAACGCUGGCGGCGGGCUUAACACAUGCAAGUCGAACGGAAAGGCCCUGCUUUUGUGGGGUGCUCGAGUGGCGAACGGGUGAGUAACACGUGAGUAACCUGCCCUUGACGUUGGGAUAACUUCAGGAAACUUGGGCUAAUACCGGAUAGGAGCUCCUGCUGCAUGGUGGGGGUUGGAAAGUUUCGGCGGUUGGGGAUGGACUCGCGGCUUAUCAGCUUGUUGGUGGGGUAGUGGCUUACCAAGGCUGUGACGGGUAGCCGGCCUGAGAGGGUGACCGGCCACAUUGGGACUGAGCUGCGGCCCAGACUACUACGGGAGGCAGGAGUGGGGAAUAUUGCACAAUGGGAGGAAGCCUGAUGCAGCAACGCCGCGUGCGGGAUGACGGCCUUCGCGUUGUAAACCGCUUUCGCCUGUGACGAAGCGUGAGUGACGGUAAUGGGUAAAGAAGCACCGGCUAACUACGUG
rnacentral:rRNA from 1 species